UUAAGUUCAGCGGGUAUCCCUACCUGGUCCGAGGUCAAACUGGGGGGGUGACGCUUUCUGGAGCGCCUGCGCGGAGAGGGGACGAGACGCGAGUCUGCUGCGCUCGAAGCCAAUACACAGGCCGCCAAUGUUUUCGAGGCGAGUCCGCGCCCAGAGGCGGGGACAAGCGCCCAACACCAAGCGUUGCUUGAAGGGUUAGA
rnacentral:misc_RNA from 1 species